rnacentral:rRNA from 1 species
AUUGAACGCUGGCGGCAGGCUUAACACAUGCAAGUCGAGCGGUAACAGGAGAAGCUUGCUUCUCGCUGACGAGCGGCGGACGGGUGAGUAAUACUUAGGAAUCUACCUAGUAGUGGGGGAUAGCACGGGGAAACUCGUAUUAAUACCGCAUACGACCUACGGGAGAAAGGGGGCAGUUUACUGCUCUCGCUAUUAGAUGAGCCUAAGUCGGAUUAGCUAGAUGGUGGGGUAAAGGCCUACCAUGGCGACGAUCCGUAGCUGGUCUGAGAGGAUGAUCAGCCACACCGGGACUGAGACACGGCCCGGACUCCUACGGGAGGCAGCAGUGGGGAAUAUUGGACAAUGGGGGAAACCCUGAUCCAGCCAUGCCGCGUGUGUGAAGAAGGCCUUUUGGUUGUAAAGCACUUUAAGCAGUGAAGAAGACUCCAUGGUUAAUACCCAUGGACGAUGACAUUAGCUGCAGAAUAAGCACCGGCUAACUCUGUGCCAGCAGCCGCGGUAAUACAGAGGGUGCAAGCGUUAAUCGGAAUUACUGGGCGUAAAGGGAGCGUAGGUGGCUCUAUAAGUCAGAUGUGAAAUCCCCGGGCUUAACCUGGGAACUGCAUCUGAAACUGUAGAGCUAGAGUAUGUGAGAGGAAGGUAGAAUUCCAGGUGUAGCGGUGAAAUGCGUAGAGAUCUGGAGGAAUACCGAUGGCGAAGGCAGCCUUCUGGCAUAAUACUGACACUGAGGCUCGAAAGCGUGGGUAGCAAACAGG